rnacentral:rRNA from 1 species
AUUGAACGCUGGCGGCAGGCCUAACACAUGCAAGUCGAGCGGAUGAAGGGAGCUUGCUCCUGGAUUCAGCGGCGGACGGGUGAGUAAUGCCUAGGAAUCUGCCUGGUAGUGGGGGAUAACGUCCGGAAACGGGCGCUAAUACCGCAUACGUCCUGAGGGAGAAAGUGGGGGAUCUUCGGACCUCACGCUAUCAGAUGAGCCUAGGUCGGAUUAGCUAGUUGGUGGGGUAAAGGCCUACCAAGGCGACGAUCCGUAACUGGUCUGAGAGGAUGAUCAGUCACACUGGAACUUAGACACGGUCCAGACUCCUACGGGCGGCAGCAGUGGGGAAUAUUGGACAAUGGGCGAAAGCCUGAUCCAGCCAUGCCGCGUGUGUGAAGAAGGUCUUCGGAUUGUAAAGCACUUUAAGUUGGGAGGAAGGGCAGUAAGUUAAUACCUUGCUGUUUUGACGUUACCAACAGAAUAAGCACCGGCUAACUUCGUG